rnacentral:rRNA from 1 species
AAUACAGAGGGUGCGAGCGUUGUCCGGAAUCACUGGGCGUAAAGGGCGCGUAGGCGGUCUCUUAAGCGUGUGGUGAAAGCCCGGGGCUCAACUCCGGGUCGGCCGUGCGAACUGGGGGACUGGAGCUUGUCAUAGGCAGGCGGAAUUCCGGGUGUAGCGGUGGAAUGCGUAGAGAUCCGGAAGAACACCGGUGGCGAAGGCGGCCUGCUGGGACAGUGCUGACGCUGAGGCGCGGCAGCGUGGGGAGCAAACAGG